UCUGUUUUUCUCACAUCCAUUCUCGUUGUUCGGCUUAUUAAGAAUUCCAUGUCUAUUUUUGCACAAGCACACUAGUAGCCGAGUUGGCAAUUGUAGCCAACCUUAGUGCAAGGGAUCCUGGGUUCGAAUACCAGGCAACCCAAAUUUUGCGUGUUGUAUUUUAAUUUUUGUCCUACACGCUACACUUUGCCUGCAGCAACACCUUGUACACGAUACAAGCUCUAGCCUGCUGGUCAGCCCAUGCUUGGCGAUUCAGGCAGCCAAGGAUCGAAUCCCUGGAGAGCCCUUUCUUUUUGUUGUUCUGGUAUUUUUCCUGUUGAGUGCGUGUUAGCAUAGUUUGCCCAUGGCGCUGGUUCAUUUCGGGCCGCACUGUUCCAAUGAGAUUCAGCCCAAUAUCUUUUUUUCCCGUUCUGCGAUUUUGUUUGCUAAACUCAAGGGUUUUCGUGAAAUUGCAUUGAUUUUAAAACGUGUGUAACGUUUAAACCGUGCGACAGAUCGGAACGAGUUAUGUACGUUAAAUGUGUAGAAUUUCGCUUAGAUUAAUAUUUUUCCAACUCUCAUGCAUAUUCAAAUUUGUUAGGCGUGAUGUUUGCUUCGAUUUGCAUGUCGACGUGUUGAAAACGGUUUAGGUCGUAACUCUUGGUCCGUAGCUCCGUUGGAGUUGUGCCAUAUAUGUAAAUGGACCAGAACGAUGAGUAGAAUCACGUGUACCACUUUGUUUUGCUGUUUAACAAACUUAAAAUGUGAUUAGGACAAAUCUGGACAGAAUUAGAAUUUAGCACGUGGGGUCAUUUCGGAGAUGCUAUAUGCCGUUUCUGGUCUCAUUUAAAAUGCCUAGCUAGGUAGAUUAAUUUGCGCUUCACCCCCUUGCCAUGUUAACAACCUUUUAAUAUUGCCGAGUACCUAAUCGGGAUAGAACUAAAUAACUAACGUGGAGUUUCGUCAAUAUGCAACUCGUUGCAUAUUGAACUUCACUUAAUGUGUAGUGUUUGAUUGUUGUGAUUGUCAUGCCUUGCAUUAGACCGUUCAUGCAUCAUAUGUGUCUUGCAUCGUGUGGUGAAUAUCGUGUGAUGAUUUGUGUUUCCGGUUUGCUUCGUCUCGAUAGAGUUCCACAAGCGAGUCAGAUUGUGAGGACCCGUUCGACUACGUCGGUUCGUCUGCUUCACGGGUUCAUUCUUCUUCCAAGCGGGAUCUCAGGCAAGAUGAUCAUUUCCCCAGAUACCAUUACUAUCAUUGNNNNNNNNNNUAUCGCUUCUAUCGUUUAUGUCUCGUUGCCUACCACAUGUUAAAUACCAGCCUCUCAACAAUGCCAUGAAAACCUUCAACCUGUUCAACCUAGCAAACCACUGAUUGGCUAUGUUACUGCUUGCUUAACCCUGUUGAUAGCGUUGCUAGUUGCAGGUGUAGUUGCUUNNNNNNNNNNNNNNNNNNNNNNNNNNNNNNNNNNNNNNNNNNNNNNNNNNNNNNNNNNNNNNNNNNNNNNNNNNNNNNNNNNNNNNNNNNNNNNNNNNNNNNNNNNNNNNNNNNNCCAUGUGAAAGCAUGGGUUCCUUGUCAUAUCACCAUAUUUAAUGUUAUAUAAUUUAAUGCACCUAUAUACUUGGCAAAAGGUGGAAGGCUUGGCCUUUCUAGCCUGGUGUUUUGUUCCACCUUUGCCCCCUUUAGUUACCGGCUACCGGUGUUAUGUUCCAUAAACGAGCGCUCCUAACACGAUCGGGGUCGUUAUGGGGACCCCCUUGAUAAUUCGUUUUAGAUUAAAGCUGGUCUGGCAAGGCCCAANNNNNNNNNNUCGGCUACCGGUGUUAUGUUACAUAGCUGAGCGCUCCUAACACGAUCGGGGUUGUUAUGGGGCCCCCCUUGAUAAUUCGUUUUAGAUUAAAGCUGGUCUGGCAAGGCCCAACUUUGGUACUACAUUUGCCUAAACACCUAAUAAAAUUGCAUAGGGACUUUCCGGACCCCGAGGAUAAUUUAAUCAACCCCCGGGCCAGUGCUCCUCAUGAGUGUUGGUCCAAAACAGAGCAGCUUAUUAACGCUACCCGGGGCAACUCGGCGUUUGGCGUGGUAACCAUUGCUCAUCCGUCGUGUCCUGAGAACGAGGUACGCGACUCCUAUCGGGAUCGUCGACACGUCGGGCGGCCUUGCUGGAUUAGUUUUACCUCUGACGAGAUAUCUUGUGCAUCGGGAUUCCGGUGAUGCUUUGGGUAAUCUCAUAGUUGAGGUUUUCCUCUAGGGAAUCCGACGAGAUCGCGAGCUUCGUGAUUGAGGAUUUCUAUGCGGCUUGUGGUAAUUUGUGAUGGACUAGUUGGAGCACCCCUGCAGGGUUAAAUCUUUCAGAAAGCCGUGCCUGCGGUUAUGUGACAACGUGGAAACUUUGUUUAACACUGGUUCUAGAUAACUUGAAGUUAACUUAAUUAAAAUACGCCAACUGUGUGCGUAACCGUGACUGUCUCUUUCGUGAGUCCUUCUCCGAUCGAGGACACGCUGGGGUUAUGUCUGACAUAGGUAGGUGUUCAGGAUCAUUCAUUUGAUCAUCAGUAGUAACGUCCGUUAUGCGUAGAUCUUCCCCCUCUUAUUUCUUGUACUCGUAAGUUUAGCCACCAAACAUAUGCUUAGCCGCUGCUGCAACCGCACCACUUAACCAUGCCUCACCCAUUAAGCUUUGCUAGUCUUGAUACCUUUGGAAAUAAGAUUGCUGAGUCCCCUGUGGCUCACAGAUUACUACAACACCAGUUGCAGGUACAGGUAAAGGUUACUUGACGCGAGCGCGUUGAUUGUUUAGUUGGAGUUGCUUCUUCUUCUUCUUCAUCGAUCUAGGAUGGGUUCGAGGCCGGUGGCGUGGGAUAGCAAGGAUGGACGUCGUUCUUCUUUUGUCGUUUGUUUUCGUCCGUAGUCGGACCCUGCUCUUACUCUUGAUGAUCAUGUAAUGUAAUGAUGUGACUCUGAUAUAGCUUGUGGCGAGUGUAAGACAAUUCUAUAGAUCUCUUCUUUUAGUACAUGUACUUGUAACGAUAUCCAUUCUUGCGACACGACGAGAUGCGCUUCUAUCCCUGACCAGGCCCUCGUGCCAAAUUGAGGAUAGGGUCGCAUCUUGGGCGUGACACGGGCGCUCUUGAUGUGAGUGAGGAUGAGGAUCUUCCUGCUGCUCCUCCUUCUGACUUUGGCUUCCCAUCUGGCCCUGAGUGGGCUGACUUCCUUCACGAGGCUCAUGGCAGUGGCCUGCCUGAUGAUGAUGAUGUUGAUGAGGGUGAUAUUUGAGUAUGUGGUAGCUGUUGGGGAACGUCGCAUGGGAAACAAAAAUUUUCCUACGCGCACGAAGACCUAUCAUGGUGAUGUCCAUCUACGAGAGGGGAUGUUUGAUCUACGUACCCUUGUAGAUCGUACAGCAGAAGCGUUAGUGAACACGGUUGAUGUAGUGAAACGUCCUCACGUCUCUCGAUCCGCCCCGCGAACCGUCCCGCGAUCAGUCCCACGAUCUAGUGCCGAACGGACGGCACCUCCGCGUUCAGCACACGUACAGCUCGACGAUGAUCUCGGCCUUCUUGAUCCAGCAAGAGAGACAGAGAGAUAGAAGAGUUCUCCGGCAGGGUGAUGGCGCUCCGGAGGUUGGUGAUGAUCUUAUCUCGGCAGGGCUCCGCCCGAGCUCCGCAGAAACGCGAUCUAGAGGUAAAACCGUGGAGAUAUGUGGUCGGGCUGCCGUGGCAAAGUUGUCUCAAAUCAGCCGUAAAACCUCCGUAUAUAUAGGGGGAGGAGGGGGAGCCUUGCCUUGGGGUCCAAGGACUCCCAAGGGGGUCGGCCGAGCCAAGGGGGGCAACCCUCCCCUUCCAAACCGAGUCCAACUAGGUUUGGAAGGAGGAGUCCUACCCCCUUUUCCCACCUCCUCUUUUUUUUCUUUUCUCUUUGAUUUUCUUCCUAUGGCGCAUAGGGCCUUCUUGGGCUGUCCCACCAGCCCACUAUGGGCUGGUGCGCCACCCCCAAGGCCUAUGGGCAUCCCCGGGGUGGGUUGCCCCCCCGGUGAACACCCGGAACCCAUUCGUCAUUCCCGGUACAUUCCCGGUAACUCCGAAAACCUUCCGGUAAUCAAAUGAGGUCAUCCUAUAUAUCAAUCUUCGUUUCCGGACCAUUCCAGAAACCCUCGUGACGUCCGUGAUCUCAUCCGGGACUCCUAACAACAUUCGGUAACCAACCAUAUAACUCAAAUACGCAUUAAAGAACGUCGAACCUUAAGUGUGCAGACCCUGCGGGUUCGAGAACUACGUAGACAUGACCCGAUAGACUCCUCGGUCAAUAUCCAAUAGCGGGACCUGGAUGCCCAUAUUGGAUCCUACAUAUUCUACGAAGAUCUUAUCGUUUGAACCUCAGUGCCAAGGAUUCAUAUAAUCCCGUAUGUCAUUCCCUUUGUCCUUCGGUAUNNNNNNNNNNNNNNNNNNNNNNNNNNNNNNNNNNNNNNNNNNNNNNNNNNNNNNNNNNNNNNNNNNNNNNNNNNNNNNNNNNNNNNNNNNNNCCGAGUGGGCCCCGAGAUACCUCUCCGUCACACGGAGUGACAAAUCCCAGUCUCGAUCCAUACUAACUCAACGAACACCUUUGGAGAUACCUGUAGAGCAUCUUUAUAGUCACCCAGUUACGUUGCGACGUUUGAUACACACAAAGUAUUCCUCCGGUGUCAGUGAGUUAUAUGAUCUCAUGGUCAUAGGAACAAAUACUUGACACGCAGAAAACAGUAGCAACAAAAUGACACGAUCAACAUGCUACGUCUAUUAGUUUGGGUCUAGUCCAUCACGUGAUUCUCCUAAUGACGUGAUCCAGUUAUCAAGCAACAACACCUUGUUCAUAAUCACAAGACACCGACUAU
rnacentral:lncRNA from 1 species